rnacentral:tRNA from 1 species
UCAAAGGGAAGGGAUUUUAACCCUUACCACUAGCUCCCAAAGCUAGCGCUCUAAACUAAACUACCCCUUG